GGGUUGUGAGGUUAAGCGACUAAGCGUACACGGUGGAUGCCCUGGCAGUCAGAGGCGAUGAAGGACGUGCUAAUCUGCGAAAAGCGUCGGUAAGGUGAUAUGAACCGUUAUAACCGGCGAUGUCCGAAUGGGGAAACCCAGUGCAAUUCGUUGCACUAUCGUUAACUGAAUACAUAGGUUAACGAGGCGAACCGGGGGAACUGAAACAUCUAAGUACCCCGAGGAAAAGAAAUCAACCGAGAUUCCCCCAGUAGCGGCGAGCGAACGGGGAGCAGCCCAGAGUCUGAAUCAGCUUGUGUGUUAGUGGAACGGUCUGGAAAGUCCGACGGUACAGGGUGAUAGUCCCGUACACCAAAAUGCACAGGCUGUGAACUCGAAGAGUAGGGCGGGACACGUGGUAUCCUGUCUGAAUAUGGGGGGACCAUCCUCCAAGGCUAAAUACUCCUGACUGACCGAUAGUGAACCAGUACCGUGAGGGAAAGGCGAAAAGAACCCCGGCGAGGGGAGUGAAAAAGAACCUGAAACCGUGUACGUACAAGCAGUGGGAGCACCUUCGGGUGUGACUGCGUACCUUUUGUAUAAUGGGUCAGCGACUUAUAUUCUGUAGCAAGGUUAACCGUAUAGGGGAGCCGCAGGGAAACCGAGUCUUAACUGGGCGUUAAGUUGCAGGGUAUAGACCCGAAACCCGGUGAUCUAGCCAUGGGCAGGUUGAAGGUUGGGUAACACUAACUGGAGGACCGAACCGACUAAUGUUGAAAAAUUAGCGGAUGACUUGUGGCUGGGGGUGAAAGGCCAAUCAAACCGGGAGAUAGCUGGUUCUCCCCGAAAGCUAUUUAGGUAGCGCCUCGUGAACUCAUCUUCGGGGGUAGAGCACUGUUUCGGCUAGGGGGUCAUCCCGACUUACCAACCCGAUGCAAACUACGAAUACCGAAGAAUGUUAUCACGGGAGACACACGGCGGGUGCUAACGUCCGUCGUGAAGAGGGAAACAACCCAGACCGCCAGCUAAGGUCCCAAAGUCACAGUUAAGUGGGAAACGAUGUGGGAAGGCACAGACAGCCAGGAUGUUGGCUUAGAAGCAGCCAUCAUUUAAAGAAAGCGUAAUAGCUCACUGGUCGAGUCGGCCUGCGCGGAAGAUGUAACGGGGCUAAACUGUGCACCGAAGCUGCGGCAGCGACACUAUGUGUUGUUGGGUAGGGGAGCGUUCUGUAAGCCUGCGAAGGUGGCCUGUGAGGGUUGCUGGAGGUAUCAGAAGUGCGAAUGCUGACAUAAGUAACGAUAAUGCGGGUGAAAAGCCCGCACGCCGGAAGACCAAGGGUUCCUGUCCAACGUUAAUCGGGGCAGGGUGAGUCGACCCCUAAGGCGAGGCCGAAAGGCGUAGUCGAUGGGAAACAGGUUAAUAUUCCUGUACUUGGUGUUACUGCGAAGGGGGGACGGAGAAGGCUAUGUUAGCCGGGCGACGGUUGUCCCGGUUUAAGCAUGUAGGCGGAGGUUCCAGGUAAAUCCGGUACCUUUUUAACGCUGAGGUGUGAUGACGAGGCACUACGGUGCUGAAGUAACAAAUGCCCUGCUUCCAGGAAAAGCCUCUAAGCAUCAGGUAACAUUGAAUCGUACCCCAAACCGACACAGGUGGUCAGGUAGAGAAUACCAAGGCGCUUGAGAGAACUCGGGUGAAGGAACUAGGCAAAAUGGUGCCGUAACUUCGGGAGAAGGCACGCUGAUAUGUAGGUGAAGCCCCUGCGGGUGGAGCUGAAAUCAGUCGAAGAUACCAGCUGGCUGCAACUGUUUAUUAAAAACACAGCACUGUGCAAACACGAAAGUGGACGUAUACGGUGUGACGCCUGCCCGGUGCCGGAAGGUUAAUUGAUGGGGUUAUCCGUAAGGAGAAGCUCUUGAUCGAAGCCCCGGUAAACGGCGGCCGUAACUAUAACGGUCCUAAGGUAGCGAAAUUCCUUGUCGGGUAAGUUCCGACCUGCACGAAUGGCGUAAUGAUGGCCAGGCUGUCUCCACCCGAGACUCAGUGAAAUUGAACUCGCUGUGAAGAUGCAGUGUACCCGCGGCAAGACGGAAAGACCCCGUGAACCUUUACUAUAGCUUGACACUGAACAUUGAGCCUUGAUGUGUAGGAUAGGUGGGAGGCUUUGAAGCGUGGACGCCAGUCUGCGUGGAGCCAACCUUGAAAUACCACCCUUUAAUGUUUGAUGUUCUAACGUUGGCCCCUGAUCGGGGUUGCGGACAGUGUCUGGUGGGUAGUUUGACUGGGGCGGUCUCCUCCCAAAGAGUAACGGAGGAGCACGAAGGUUAGCUAAUCCUGGUCGGACAUCAGGAGGUUAGUGCAAUGGCAUAAGCUAGCUUGACUGCGAGCGUGACGGCGCGAGCAGGUGCGAAAGCAGGUCAUAGUGAUCCGGUGGUUCUGAAUGGAAGGGCCAUCGCUCAACGGAUAAAAGGUACUCCGGGGAUAACAGGCUGAUACCGCCCAAGAGUUCAUAUCGACGGCGGUGUUUGGCACCUCGAUGUCGGCUCAUCACAUCCUGGGGCUGAAGUAGGUCCCAAGGGUAUGGCUGUUCGCCAUUUAAAGUGGUACGCGAGCUGGGUUUAGAACGUCGUGAGACAGUUCGGUCCCUAUCUGCCGUGGGCGCUGGAGAAUUGAGGGGGGCUGCUCCUAGUACGAGAGGACCGGAGUGGACGCAUCACUGGUGUUCGGGUUGUCAUGCCAAUGGCAUUGCCCGGUAGCUAAAUGCGGAAGAGAUAAGUGCUGAAAGCAUCUAAGCACGAAACUUGCCCCGAGAUGAGUUCUCCCUGAGACUUUAAGUCUCCUGAAGGAACGUUAAAGACGAUGACGUUGAUAGGUCGGGUGUGUAAGCGUAGCGAUACGUUGAGCUAACCGAUACUAAUGAACCGUGAGGCUUAACCUUACAACGCCGAAGGUGUUU
rnacentral:rRNA from 1 species